GCUUUCUUAGCUCAGUAGGUAGAGCGCUUCCAUGGUAAGGAAGAGGUCGCCGGUUCGAUUCCGGCAGAUAGCUCCA
rnacentral:tRNA from 1 species